CUCACACAAAGCCUGUUUGGUGGUCUCUUCACACGGACGCGCAUGAAAUUUGGUGCCGUGACUUGGAUCAGGGGACUUCCCCUAGGAGAUCAAUCCCCCGUCCUCCUGCUCUUUGCUCCUUGAGAAAGAUCCACCUACGACCUCAGGUCCUCAGACCCACCAGCCCAAGAAACAUCUCACCAGUUUCAAAUCCGGUAAGCGGCAUCUUUUUACUCUCUUCUCCAACCUCCCUCACUAUCCCUCAAUCUCUUUCUCCUUUCAAUCUUGGCGACUGGGAAGGCAGCCUUCCCUUGGUGUUUAAUCACUGCAGGGACACCUCUCUGAUUAUACGCCCACGUUUCAAGGGUGUCAGACCACACAAGGACGCCUGCCUUGGUCCUUCACCCUUAGGGGCAAGUCCCGCUUUUCUGGGGAAGGGGCAAAUACCCCAACCCCUUCUCUCCUUGUCUCUACCCCUUCUCUGCUUUUCCAGGGACAGGGCAAGUAACCGAACCCCUUGUCUUCUUGUCUCUACCCCUUCUCUGCUUUUCUGGGAGGGGGCAAGUACCCCUCAACCCCUUCUCCUUCACUCUUACCAAGUCCCACUUUUCUAGAGGAGGGACAAGUACCCCAACCUCAUAUCUCUGCACCCCAAUCCCUUAUUUCCACGCCCCAACCUCUUAUAUCUCUGUGCCCCAAUCCCUUAUUUCCGCGCCCCAACCUCGUAUCUCUGUGCCCCAAUCCCUUAUUUCCGUGCCCCGACCUCUUAUUUCUGCGCCCCAUCCCUUAUUUCCAUGCCCUGACCUCUUAUCUCUGUGCCCCAACCCCUUUUCCCACUUUUCUGGAAGGUAAGAACCCCCGAACCCCUUCCCUCUGUUUCUCUACUCUCUCUUUUCUCUAGGCUUGCUUCCUUCACUAUGGGAACCUUCCACCCUCCAUUCCUCCUUCUACUCCCCUGGCCUGUGUUAAAUAAUUCUUGUCGUAAAAUAGGCAAACGGUCUGAGGUGCCUGAUGUCCAGGCAUUCUUUUACACAUCAGUCCCUUCCUAGUCUCUGUGCCCAGUGCAACUCAUCCCAAAUCUUCCUUCUUUCCCUCCCAUCUGUCCCCUCAGUACUAACCCCAAGCAUCGCUGAGUCUUUGUUAUCUUCCUUUUCUACAGACCCACCUGACCUCUCCCUUGCUCCCCAGGCUGCUCCUCGCCAGGCUGAGCUAGGUCCCAAUUCUUCCUCCGCCUCUGCUCCUCCACCCUAUAAUCUUUUUAUCACCUCCCCUCCUCACACCUGGUCUGGCUUACAGUUUCGUUCCGUGACUAGCCCUCCCCGUCCUGCCCAGCAAUUUACUCUUAAAAAGGUGGCUGGUGCUAAAGGCAUAGUCAAGGUUAAUGCUCCUUUUUCUUUAUCCCAAAUCAGAAGCGUUUAGGCUCUUUCUCAUCAAAUAUAAAAAUCCAGCCCAGUUCAUGACUCGUUUGACAGCAACCCUGAGACACUUUACAGCCCUAGACCACAACAGGAUUUAAUUAACCUCGCCUUCAAGGUGUGCAAUAAUAGAAAAAAGUUACAAUUCCUUCCCUCCACUAUGAGACAAACCCCAGCCACAUCUCCAGCACACAAGAACUUCCAAACGCCUGAACCGCAGUGGCCAGACCUUCCUCCAGAACCUCCUCCCCCAGGAGCUUGCUACAAGUGCCAGAAAUCUGACCACCAGGCCAAGGAAUGUCUGCAGCCCAGGAUUCCUCCUAAGUCAUGUCCCAUUUGUGCCAGACCCCACUGGAAAUCGGACUGUUCAACUUACCUGGCAGCCACUCCCAGAGCCCCUGGAACUCUGGCCCAAGGCUCUCUGACUGACUCCUCCUCGGCUUAGCAGCUGAAGACUGACGCUGCCCGAUUGCCUCGGCAGCAGCUAUAUCUCAUUGCCGCCCUUCUUCCCAAUCAAGAGCCUCCUUUGCGUCCUCCUCUUGUAUCCCCCCACCUUAACCCACAAGUAUAAACCCAUUAUUCUGUUCUGGAUCUCAAACAUGCUUUCUUUACUAUUCCUUUGCACCCUUAAUCCCAGCCUCUCUUCGCUGCUUCCCGGCUCCUUCAGCUGUACUCACUCUUUGUUAAGUCCCACAAUUACUGUUGUUCCUGACCCAGACUUCACAGCCACCAACUUAAAAAGGACUGGACAAUACUUUUCCCUUCUCAGAAUUCAGGCCUGUCCUCAGAAUGCUACAGGGUACAGCCCAUUUAAGCUCCUUUAUAGACGCUCCUUUUAUUAGGCCCCAGUCUCAUUCCAAUUCUAUUUAGUUUCUCAAUUCAUCCAAAACCGUAUCCAGGCCAUGACCAAUCAUUCUAUACGACAAAUGUUUCUUCUAACAUCCCCACAAUAUCACCCCUUACACAAGACUUCCCUUCAGCUUAAUCUCUCCCUCUCUACAUUCCCACACCACCCCUAAUCCCGCUUGAAGCAGCCCUGAGAAACAUCGCCCAUUCUCUCUCCAUACCAUCCCCCCAAAAAUUUUCGCCCCCACUCCUGCCCGCCAGAGAACAAACCCGCUUUGACUGCAAUUUUCCUUUACCUACCCAAAUCCUAUAAAACUGCCCCACCCCUAUCUCCCUUCGCUGACUCUUUUCGGAUUGUUUCUGUUUGCUGAUGACAAUCUUAGAGGUAGAAAACCCUAACAACUUCACAGAAAACUAUGAGAACUAAUAAUUUUGGUAAAGAUACAAAAAUCAGUAGCAUUUUAUACACCACCAACAAAAAAAGCAAUUUAAAAACAUUCCAUGUAUAAUAGCAACACAAAAUAUAAAAUACAUAGGAGUAAAUUUAAGCAAGGAGCUGAAAGAGCUGUACAAUCAACUAUAAAACACUGACAGAAUAAAUUAAAGAAGACAUAAAUAAAUGGAAUGCUAUCCCACAUUUAUGGAUUUUAAAAGUUUAUAUUGUUAAAAUGUCUAUAAUUUCAGAAGAGAUCUACAGAUUCAAUGCAAUUUCUAUCAAAAUUCUAGUAUUUUUUUAGAGAAAUAGAAAAAAAAUCCUGAAAUUUGUAUGGAACCAGGAAAGACCCCACAUAGCCAAAGCAAUAUUGAGCAAAAAUAACAAGCAGAGAGUAUAACACUCCCUGAUAUUAAAAUAUAUUAUAAUGCUAUUGUAAUAGAAAUAGUAUGAUACAGCCAUAAAUAUAGAUACAUCUACCAGUGGAACAGGACAGAAAGCCCAGAAAUAAACAAACCCAAGUAUUUGUGGUCAAUUGAUUUUUUACAGCAUUCUCCCAAACACACAUUGGGUCAAGGUUAGUCUCUUUAAUAAAUGGUGUUAGAAAAACUGGAUAUCCAGAAUCAAAAGAAUGAAAUUGGAUACUUCGGUCACAUCAUAUACAAAAAUCAACUCAACAUGGGAUGAAAGACUUACAUGUAAGACCCCAAAUUGCAAAGCUGCUAGAAGAAAACAGGGGAAAAGCUCCAUGACAUUGGUCUGGACAACAAUUAUUUAAAUGUGACCCCAAAAGCACAAGCAACAAAAGCAAAAAUAGACAAACUAGAUUGUACCAACCUAAAAGCUUCUGUAAAGCAAAACAAUUAACAGGGUGAAGAGACAACCAUAGAUUGGGAGAAAUAUUUGCAAAUCAUAAAACUGAUAAGAGGCUAGUAUCCAAAAUAUGUAAGAAACUCAAACAAUUAAAUAGCAAUAACCUAAUUUAAAAGUGAGCAAAGGAUCUGAACAGACAUUUCUCAACAGAAGAGAUAAAAAUAUCCAACAGAUAUAUGAAAACUAAUGAUCAGGAAAAUGCAAAUUAAAACCACAGUGAGAUACUACCUCAUUAGUGACAAAGUUAGAAUGUCUACUAUCAAAAAGACAAAUGAUAGCAAGUUUUGGCAGGGAUGUGGAGGAACCUCUGUAUCUUCUCGUUGAGAAUGUAAAUUAGUACAGCCAUUGUGGAAUAUGGUAUGCAGGCUCCUCAAAACACUAAAACUCAAAUUACCAUAUGAUCCAGCAAUCCCACUUUUAGUAUAUAUCCAAAAGAAGUGAAAUUAAUAUGUCAAAGAGAUAUCUGCACUCCCAUGUUCAUGGUAACAUUAUUCAUAAUAACCAAAAUAUGAAAUACCAUAUGCAAACUUUUUUUUUUUUUUUUAGACAGAGUCUCGCUCUGUCUCCCAGGCUGGAGUACAGUGGCAUGAUCUUGGCUCACUGCAACCUCCCCCUCCCCGGUUCAAAUGAUUCUCGUGCCUCAGCCUCCCAAGUAACUGAGACUGCAGGCUCAGUUAGCCACCACGCCCGGCUAAUUUUUGUAUUUUUUAGUAGAGACAGGGUUUUUCCAUUUUGGCCAGGCUGGUCUCCGACUCCUGACCUUCAGGUCAGAUCCACCCGCCUUGGCCUCCCAAAGUGCUGGGAUUAUAGGUGUAAGCCACUGUGCCUGGCCUCUAUACAGCCUUAAAAAGAGAUUCUGUCAUUUGACAACAUGAAUGCAACUGGCUGUGAGAAAGGGAUUGAUGGAGAAAGAGAUGUUUAUCGGAUAGUACAAAGUCUUGGACUAUAGGAAUAAGUUUUAUUAAUCUUUUUGACUGCAUGGUGACCAGAGUUAAUAAUAAUGUAUUCUAUACUUCAAAAUUGCUUAAAAAAAGAGGUUUUAAUGUUCUCAUGACAAAAAUGAAAUAAGUGGCAGAGGAGAUGGAUAUGUUAAUUGGCUUAACUGAAUCUUUUUACAAUGUAUGCAUAGAUCAAAUCAUCAUAUUAUACCCCAUAAAUAUAAUCAUUUUUUAAUUAAAAAUUAAUAAAUUAAUUUUUUAAAGAUAGUGACUAAAAAUUGAGAACUGCAAAAUUGAAAAUCAGAAGAUUUCUCAAAGCAAUAAUAGAAUAAAAAAUUGUGGAAUAAUGCCUUCAAAAUUUUGGAAAAAACUGUCGUAAUUUAAAUAUGUUCAUGUAUCAUUCAGUUAUGAGGGUAAAAUAAGGAUAUAUUCAAACAAAAGGAGCUUACUACUAAUAAAUUUUCAGUAAAGGAUCUAAAAGGUGGCUUUUCAGGAGUAAAGAAAAAAACUCAGAAGUUUGAUAUGUAAGAAAAGAAUAGUGAGUAAAUUAAUAAAUUAAAAUAUGAAUAAAUAUAAAAUGUCAAAAGUACAAAACAAUAAUAAAAUGUCUAUAUUAAAAGUCGAGAAUAAAAGACAAAAUGAGAGUUAAAUAAUGUCUGAUUAUGACAUGAUAUAAAAGUAAAAAGUGAUAAAAUCUAGAAUACUGUACAUUUUCUGAAUUGAUUUGAGAAUAUAGAGAAUAGAUAAAGGUAUUGUGAAAUCAGUAUGAAUAUUAGCAUGUUAAUAGUAACUAAAAGUACUACACAUUGACAACAUAGCUUCUAUUAUUGGGAAAAAUGAAUAAAUUUGUAAUCAAUUCAAAAGGAGGAAUAAUUAAAAACACAAAAAUAAAGCUUAAAAAAUCAGGAGAAAUAGAGUGUCCAUAUUAAAUGGAAGAAACACUUUCAGAUAUAUCAGCUAUCAACUUAAGGUAAUUGGAUGAAACUCUUCAGUUAAAGAAUUGUCAUUUUUCAAGCUCCAUUCAAAAUAAAAAAAUCCAUAUGCUAACAUAUAUACAUAUUAUUUUAUUUAUAAUGAACACAACAAAAGUGUAAGGUUAUAGAACAUUUGAAAGCAAAGGAAAAAUACAUGCCAGGUUAAUACUAAUCAAUGACAAGCUGGUAGGACAAUAGUAUUAUCAGAUUAAAAUUUACCCCAGGGUUAAUAAUAUAAUAGAUAUGAAGAGAAUUUUUAUAUAAUGAUAAAAAUGACACCUGGAAGAUAUUGUAAUUCUUAUGUUUCAUGUGCUUAUUUAUGAUACUGGCAUAAUAUUCAAAUUAUUAAUAAUUAUAAUUCAGACAAAAGCUACUGACCCAUCCCCCAUUAUUUUGGAAUUUCAAUACAGAUCUUUAAGUAAUGUUAAUGAAAUUAUUGUAAGAUUGAUAACAUUUUGAAUAUGUCACUAUCACAACUUACUUGGGGAUAUUUACAAAACUUUGCAUUUGGUAGUUUGAAAAUACACAUUCUUCUUCCACUCCAAUGAAAUUAAGCUUGUGCCAAUCCGUAAAAUCAUGUUUAACAAAUUUCAAGAUUUCAUGUUUUACAGAUCACAGUCACUGAACAAGAUAUAAUAAAUAGAAAGAAAUAACAAAAAUGACUAAAAUAUUAGGACAGUUAAAAAUAUGUUUCUAAAGCACUCAUGAAUUAAAAGAGAAGUCAUAUUGGAAAUUAGAAAAUAAAACUCAAAUAAUAAAUGUAACAUACAAAUUCAUGAUUUAAGCUAAUUGGUACUAAAACUAAAUUGUUAAAAUCUGAUGUUCAUUGUUGUGGGGAAAAACAUGUGUGAAAAUCAAUUAUCCAAGCAUUUGAAUUAAAGAAUUAAAAGAGAACAAUGUGACACAAAAAUGUAAAAUGAAAUAAAGAUAGGAGUGGUAAUUAAUGACAUAGAAAACAAGGCACAAUAGGGAGGAUCAUUAAAGACAAUGGUUAUUGUUUAAAUAGAUUAUUAAAAUCUACAAGCUCUGGAGAGAGUAUUUAUGAUUAUAUGAGAAUAAAAAGAUAAAAAUGAUAAGGAAAAUAAGGCGAUAAAAUUAUAGACCCAAUAAAGAUUUAAAACUUAAUUGGGAAAUAUUAUGAACAACAUUGUGAUGAUAAAUUUGAAGACUCAGAAAGAUACAUUUUUACAUAAAAAUGAAACUUAUUAUUCACACUUGCAAAUAAAUAGAAAUCUCCAAAAGAUAGAAAACUUCAUUCUAAACCUAGAACUUGAUGCCAUUUAAAAAAAAAUUUUGUGGAAGAAGGCGGCCACGAUUAGUCAAGUUAACUGUAAAAAUCAACUUGGGAGAACUUAUCCUGUCUCAUCAUUACACCAGUGUGGUAAUCAUACAUGUGGUAUUGACAUAAAUAUGGACAAAUAGUCCAAGGGAAGGUAACUGAUAGUCGAUAAAAAUAGAUAAACAGGUAUGAGGCCUUAAUAUGUAACACAGAUGACACUGGAGUCUUUGGGACAAGAUGGGCUCUUCAAGGAUGAUUCCUGGGAAAAGGCAAUCCUCAUAAGAAAAAAUAAAUUAGAUAUCUACCUCCUACUAGAGACAAAAUUUAUAGUUGUAGUUAAAAACCUAAAUAUAAAAAUUCAACUUUAAAAUUGGUAGGAAUAAAUAUUAGAGCUUAUUCACAGGGCCUCUUGCUAAGGAAAUAUUGCUUCCAUAAGACAUAAAGAAUACAAACCACUAAUUUAAAAGACUGAUAAAAUUGAUCAUAUUUAAAGACUUCUGUGACUCAAAUAAUUCUACAAUAAAAUGACUAUACAAAUCACUAAGAGAUAUAAUCUAUGUAACACAUAUUACUCACAAAAGAUUAGUUUCCAGAAUAUGUCAAGACUACAAAUCAAUAAGAUAAAGACAAAUCAAUGAGAAAUUAUCAAAAGAUAUGAAAAGACAAUUCAUAAAGGGGAAAUUAUAAAAGUCAAUAAAAAAGGAAAAAUAUUUAAGUCCACUAAUAGAGAAAUUAACAUUAAAACCAUGAUGAGACUCCAUUUCACAUCUAUUAGGUUGGCAAUAAUAUAAAAGUCUGAAAGUGUCAAAUAAUGGGGAGUAAGUGGAACCAUGGAAAAUUAUACAUUUUGAUGGUAAUUUAAAUUCAUUAAAAACACUAGGGAAUAAUUUAGCAUUAUCUAGUAAUACAUAAACUCCUAGCUAUAGACACUAUCCUUUUAGCUAUAGAAAUUUUGCUCAAGGAGAUUGAUACAAGAAUGUUCACAACGGUAUGAAUUCUCAUACAUAUGACAUCUAAAAUAGUAUUAAUUAUCAUAUACAAAGUACUAUUCCUCUAUAGAAUAAUGAAAACAUUAACUGUACUAUGUUUUCAUGAUUGUCUAUUGUAUAGCAUUGAAAAUGAAUGAAUUAGACCUAUAAAUGUCAAAAUAAAUACAUCUCACAAAAACAUGAUUAGACCCAAAAGUUGCAAUACAAUGAAUAUAUUCUGACUUUAUCUUUGUGUCUAUUAAAAUUUGCAUAUCAAUAUUAUACAUGGUUUAAGGAGACUAUAUAUAUUUGGGUGUGUGUGUGUUUAUAUUAACAUAUAUAAGAUAUGUUAAUAAUCUUAAGCAAACUCCAGAAAAUAAUUACAUUCAGAAAAAAGAGAAUGGGAUGCAGUUGGCAGUGGUAUCUAGGACAACUUCAAUAGAGCUUAUAAUGUUUUAUUUUAUUAGGUGUAUAUUGGAUAGAUGAAUGUUAUUUAUCGUUUUUGUGGAUGAGAAACAAUUUAUACUGAAUGUUAAGUAAUAGGGAGAACAAUCAGACCAACAUGUGUGAAUGUCUGUUUAUGUGGAGAAGCUGAAGAAACAAUUGUUUGGGUUGAUAAUGAUUACUAACUGGA
rnacentral:lncRNA from 1 species